ACCAAUCCCUAUCUUUUUUUUACUUUAGGGCUAUUUACUUUAGGGCUAGUCAUCCUGAAAAACUUUCUACUAGUCCCCCUCGCUUUUGUCUCAUCAUCUUCUGCCAUCUCAUCAAAAUCUUCCUUUUCAACUAGUCCCUUAUCAUCUUCCUUCAUCUCGUCAAAAAAAUUCUUACUUUAGGGCUAUUUACUUUAGGGCUAUUUACUUCAGGGCUAUUUACUUCAGGGCUAUUUACUUUAGGGUUAAUUACUUUAGGCCUACCACUACUCAACUUACACUUAAGUACACUUCUGCACUUCCACUGAGCCAAGGACCAUCAUUUGUGUCAAACUUUCAGCAUAAUGCUUCUUACAUCAUAACACAAGGAGAAAGUCCCCUGAAUAUUUUUCUUUCAUAAAAUUAAAAGUAAUAUGGUCAACCCUGAACUUCAAAAAAAGGUUAACACAAUGGGGCUUACUCUGGCUUGCAUCCCCCAAAAACUCCUACUCUUUCAUCUGGGGCCAUACC
rnacentral:misc_RNA from 1 species